rnacentral:lncRNA from 1 species
UCCCCUUACCAUCCCUCGCCACCGUUAUCACUGGCCAGGCAGUUGGGUGAUGACACAUUCCCCUUGGGAACAAUGCCCAAUCUCCCCAACAGCUGUGCCCAGAAGGCCAUCAGAUCCAGAUCCUGGCAGCUGGUGAGCCUGGGCUCAGCCAGCCCCAGCCUCGAGGUAUCUUCAGUACCACAGAGAAGAGCAUAAGGAUAAGGUUUCUGAGGGUUAGGACUUGACUGCAGCUUCCAGAAACUGACUCACACGUACCCACAUCUCACACAGAAGGGUUUUCUUUUUUAUCCAACAAACACAUGCUCCCAUUCCUUUUGUGUUUGUAGAAGGAAAGAAGAAAAACCAGCUGUGAGUUUCUCUCCGCAAUGCUUUCUUCCAGGACUGAAAGCACUCUUACUGCAUUCCUCCUCUGAAGCCCCACUAAGGAAUUCUGUCAACACUGUAAAGAAGUCCAGAUUGAAAACGAGGGAAGCUUCUGCGGCUGGAUCUCUCCAUGUGUUGGACACAAAAAGCCCCCUGUUCUGAGAAUUGUUGAAAUGCUUCUGUCCCUUUCCCAGACUCUUUGCUCCACAGUACCCUGUCAAAACAUCUGGCCCCUUUUGUCCCUUGGCUUUCCCUGUGCUAUUAAAGCCCUUCCAAAUCACGAGACACUUCCUGUUGACCUAAACAUUUUUUCUUUUUUAAUUCACCU